rnacentral:sRNA from 1 species
UAUCUCUCCGUACGGGGAAGGAUGAGAAGCUUCGACUAAGGUUCGAUUCGAGCGCAGCGAGAAAGCGUUGCCGCAGGC